rnacentral:lncRNA from 1 species
AAGGACAAGCCACCGGCGCUCCAUCUGGUGGUGGACAAGCUAAUGGACAACGACCUGCAUGCAGAACCAACAGGCCACAUGUCGGAAGGAGGUUCAGGAGGCUCCACCAUCAACCCAGCCGACUGAGGAGGUGGAUGCUGUAAAGUGCAUGGCCAAGAUCAGCAAGCUGUUCCACAGCAAGCAACCCAAUGUGACACCAUCCCAUGCUGCGGUGGAUCGGAAGGAAGCGGAAGAUCUGGGCCGUGAGAGCAACCUUGGACGAUUGAAGGGCGCUGGGCUUUGCAGUGCGUACAAGUUAUGGGCAAUUACAAAGUGCACCCUAGUAAAUUAAAUGUGUGGGAGCCUUUGUUACUGACACCCAUGCCAUCACCAGUUGGCUGCCUCAAGACAUUUCUCCAAGACCCGUCCUCUCUGGCGGCCUUUCAUGCUCUGCCAGUUAGGCCCUGUGGAUGCCGAGACGGGAGAAAAGGAGAAUGGAGAUGGUGCCGGCGAGGAAGGGGAUGGCAUGGAUGGGAGGCGCAAGGGGGAUAGGCGCGGAUGAGGAGACAGCCGUCGGUGAUGCAGGUGGGUGGUGGCCAUUUACUCGUAGUGUAAGUAGGACAGAGGUAACGUGAUAUUUACUGUCACUGGUCAUGCUCUGUAGAGCUCAUGAACCCUCCAGUGCAAGACGUCUGUUGUGGGGCCGGCACUGCUUUGCUCCUGCUCCUUGACUGGCGUUAUUAGCACACGGGCCAUUGGUUCCAUUUCCGCCUUGUGCACUCACGGCAGAUGAAGAGGAGGCAGAACCGGACCUGAUGCCAUGCAAGGCAGGCCAAAACGCCCGGUGCCUCUCAUGCACUGCACCAACGUGCUGGUAGAGGCGGAGUCGCUAGAUGAGGAGCUCCUAGAGGAUUUGGACGCGUACGGCACUAUCCCACCACAGCCACGGCACCAGCGGCGGCGCACGAUGACAGACAAGGUGAAAGCACUCAAGGUUCAGGAGGCGGCAGGCACGCAAGCAGCAGCAGGUGCAGCGGCAUGUGGCAAGGAACAGUUUGAUGGCCAUGGGGAAGUGCACUGGUAAGGGGAAGAAGUGAGGUGUAACAUGGUUUACUUACGACUUGGUAUACAGCAGUAGUCAUUGGCAGUGGGGGUGGUGGGUUGAGACAGCGGGCAGGUUCAGAUACGCAGAGCAGAGACACAGCUGGGGUGUGUUGAUGCGGCCAGAGACAUCAGAGACAUCACGGUGUUGGUGGCAGGGUGGAGUGAGAGGUUGUGGGUUGAGAUUCCUACGGCAUAUUUCAAUCCCCUGCUUUGGGACUCAUGCCUUGGGGAUAUUACAGACACUACUAUGUUGGAAGCGGUUGGCGGCAGGGUUCAUAGUUGCACAGCGGGCGCACAUGCAGACCCUACAUUACAGAGCGGUAGGUAGCAGGGCUCUGACGGGGUGACGUUGACAGUCAGUAUCUAGUGGCAUUUCCUGGUGGUGUAGAGGACCUACCUGUGCGGGGGGGCUGGGGGCCCUCCUGACAGCACCGAGUUAAGCUGGUGCAAAUGUAGCAUAUCAUGGAGUGCUUAGCGAAACUGAUGUCUUAAUGGAAUCUGAGCUGGGGGGGAUAAGGGGGCAGGUUACAUACAGAUGGGGGGGUUGGAUAAAGCUGUGAGUAAGCCACCGAAGGGGCGGGGCGGAGUUGUCCAGGGGUAGUGAUGAAGGGUAGACAUUGUGGGUAGGGUAAGGGCACCCUACCCCUACCCCAUACACCCCUACCAAGGGGUUGGGUUAUGGCGGAAGUGAGUAAGGUCCUCUUGGGUAGGGUAGCGGGUGUGUAGUAGUGCCUACCCAGCUGGGGUCACCGACCUUUUUACGGCAACAGGGGAUUGCAUAGUUGGUACGUAUUUAUGUGGGGCCUGCCUCUUAGUGCGUGGGCCCUCCAAUUCUUUGGCGAGAAGGUACACCUGCCACUUCCAUGCUGCAUAGAUUUAUAAAGACAGUUCCCCCUGAGUGUUAUCCUACAGAGUCCUACCUUCCUUGCCGAGCUGCUUUCCAAGCAUGGAGGGUCCUACUUUUUUGGGGGUAGGUGUGACUGGCGUGGCAUGAUGGUUGUCGUACGGUACAUAGCCUGGUGCUGCAUGAUCAACUUGCAGGACGAUGUAACGUUGGAAGACAACGAGCGUUUAACCGGCUUAUGUUGUGCUGAAGUGUUCUCAUUUGGCGAAAGGAGAGGCCCUGGAUUGUGUCCAAGCAAACGAUUGCCACCACGGCGAGCCGGAACCAUCACCAUCACUGCACGUAGCUAGGUGCCUGAGUGCGUAAUUUUUAAGUAUUAAUUAUUUAUUAUACUGAAGCGGGUGCUUUGCUGUUGCUUUUAUGUAACAUAUGGAACGAAUUAUA